rnacentral:rRNA from 1 species
AUGAACGGUCUAACGCGGGCGAAACUGUCUCACAAAUGUAAUAAUAAAUUAAUUUAUUGGUCAAAAAGCCAAUAUACUAUUAUUAGACGAGAAGACCCUACUGAGCUUAAUUGUUAACUUUUAAUUUCCUAAAAACAAAAAUUUUGUUGGGGCGACAAAGGAACUACAUAACCUUCCUUUAACAACCAAAUCUGCAAAAUUUAUAACGAUCCAUUUCUAAUGAUCAAAUACUAAGUUACCAUAGGGAUAACAGCAUAAUUCUUUUCAAGAGCCCUCAUCGAAAAAAGAGUUUGUGACCUCGAUGUUGGACUAAGGUACACUAAAGACGCAACCGUUUCUAGUUAUAGUCUGUUCGACUAACAC